AACGAACGCUGGCGGCACGUUUUAAGCAUGCAAGUCGAACGGCAGUGGGGGCAACCUCAUGAGAGUGGCGAACGGGUGAGUAACACGUAGGUGAUCUGCCUUUAGGUUGGGGAUAGCUUGUGGAAACACAGGGUAAUACCGGAUGAGCUGACUGUCACUUUGGUGAUGUUAGUAAAGGUGCUACGGCACCGCCUAGAGAGGAGCCUGCGGCUGAUUAGCUAGUUGGUGGGGUAAAGGCCUACCAAGGCAACGAUCAGUAGCCGGCCUGAGAGGGUGUACGGCCAGACUGGAACUGAGACACGGUCUAGACUCCUACGGGAGGCAGCAGCUAAGAAUCUUCCGCAAUGGGCGAAAGCCUGACGGAGCGAUGCCGCGUGAUCGAUGAAGGUCGAGAGAUUGUAAAGAUCUUUUCCAACUGAGGAAUAAGUGGACCAGGGAAUGGGUUCAUGAUGACGUUAAGUUGGGAAUAAGCCCCGGCUAAUUACGUGCCAGCAGCCGCCGUAA
rnacentral:rRNA from 1 species